GUGCUCUCUUUGGCAGUGCCUAUACUAAAAUUGGAAUGAUACGUAGAAGAUUAGCAUGGCCCCUGUGCAAGGAUGACAUACAAACUGGUGAAGAUUCAUGCAUCUUA
ensembl:snRNA U6 U6 spliceosomal RNA